AUGAACGCUAGCGACAGGCUUAACACAUGCAAGUCGAGGGGCAGCACAGGUAGCAAUACCGGGUGGCGACCGGCGCACGGGUGAGUAACGCGUAUGCAACUUGCCUAUCAGAGGGGAAUAACCCGGCGAAAGUCGGACUAAUACCGCAUGAAGCAGGGAUCCCGCAUGGGAAUAUUUGCUAAAGAUUCAUCGCUGAUAGAUAGGCAUGCGUUCCAUUAGGCAGUUGGCGGGGUAACGGCCCACCAAACCGACGAUGGAUAGGGGUUCUGAGAGGAAGGUCCCCCACAUUGGUACUGAGACACGGACCAAACUCCUACGGGAGGCAGCAGUGAGGAAUAUUGGUCAAUGGCCGAGAGGCUGAACCAGCCAAGUCGCGUGAGGGAUGAAGGUUCUAUGGAUCGUAAACCUCUUUUAUAAGGGAAUAAAGUGCGGGACGUGUCCCGUUUUGUAUGUACCUUAUGAAUAAGGAUCGGCUAACUCCGUGCCAGCAGCCGCGGUAAUACGGAGGAUCCGAGCGUUAUCCGGAUUUAUUGGGUUUAAAGGGUGCGUAGGCGGCCUUUUAAGUCAGCGGUGAAAGUCUGUGGCUCAACCAUAGAAUUGCCGUUGAAACUGGGGGGCUUGAGUAUGUUUGAGGCAGGCGGAAUGCGUGGUGUAGCGGUGAAAUGCAUAGAUAUCACGCAGAACCCCGAUUGCGAAGGCAGCCUGCCAAGCCAUUACUGACGCUGAUGCACGAAAGCGUGGGGAUCAAACAGGAUUAGAUACCCUGGUAGUCCACGCAGUAAACGAUGAUCACUAGCUGUUUGCGAUACACUGUAAGCGGCACAGCGAAAGCGUUAAGUGAUCCACCUGGGGAGUACGCCGGCAACGGUGAAACUCAAAGGAAUUGACGGGGGCCCGCACAAGCGGAGGAACAUGUGGUUUAAUUCGAUGAUACGCGAGGAACCUUACCCGGGUUUGAACGCAUUCGGACCGAGGUGGAAACACCUUUUCUAGCAAUAGCCGUUUGCGAGGUGCUGCAUGGUUGUCGUCAGCUCGUGCCGUGAGGUGUCGGCUUAAGUGCCAUAACGAGCGCAACCCUUGCCACUAGUUACUAACAGGUAAAGCUGAGGACUCUGGUGGGACUGCCAGCGUAAGCUGCGAGGAAGGCGGGGAUGACGUCAAAUCAGCACGGCCCUUACAUCCGGGGCGACACACGUGUUACAAUGGCGUGGACAAAGGGAAGCCACCUGGCGACAGGGAGCGAAUCCCCAAACCACGUCUCAGUUCGGAUCGGAGUCUGCAACCCGACUCCGUGAAGCUGGAUUCGCUAGUAAUCGCGCAUCAGCCAUGGCGCGGUGAAUACGUUCCCGGGCCUUGUACACACCGCCCGUCAAGCCAUGGGAGCCGGGGGUACCUGAAGUCCGUAACCGCGAGGAUCGGCCUAGGGUAAAACUGGUGACUGGGGCU
rnacentral:rRNA from 1 species